rnacentral:lncRNA from 1 species
AUUCAUAGCAAGUGAAACAUUCCAGAUGUUAAAAGCGUGGACAGUGAGGUCCAUGGACCGGCAGGAUCAGCAGCCCCAGAAGCUCCUUGGACCUGCAAGACCCUCCGGCCCCACCACAGCCCUACUGAACCAGGAUCAGACUUUAAAAAAGAAUCCAAUGCCAGUUUGAGAAGCCCAACUCAAAAAUCUAGACCAACAACCUGGUCUACCUUCCUGGCCAAGUCUCGCCACAUGGCAUCAUUUCCUCCUCACCUGCAGAAUCGCUGUGACUUAUGGCUCCUCUGAUUGCACCUGCUUUCACCAGCAGCCCUGGAAGAGAGCUCUUCUGUGUGGAUAAGAGUUGAGAGAUCUUGGUUUCAUUACUUGUUUAAAUUGGACCCUCUCAAAUGAAUGUAAGCACAUAAUGGGGGGACUACACUAUGAGAUUAAAAGGAAUCCAGCUGUUACCAGAAAUGGGUGCCUGCCAGGUUUAUCCACCAAAUUCUUUCCACUUCAUGUCAUUAAAAUAAAAUUUGAGUUUUAAAAUGAAAA